ensembl:lncRNA
CGCCGAGCUCAGCCCGGAGCUCCCUGCCCCGGCCGCUAGGGGCGCCGGGGAGAGCUGCCUGGGAGCGGACUGCGCCGCCCGGGCCCCCAACGGCACCAGCCGGGACUGCAAGGGCGUUGAAUGCAAACUGCCCCUGCGGCUCCGCCACAGGUCCCGGCUGGGCAGCGGGGCUCGGUGCGCCCAGCAGGGAGAGGCCUGCCCGGAGCCUGCCCUGCUCAGAGAGGCGGAGCGAGCCGCCCAGUUCCUCGCGGAAGACUUCGCCUACCCGGCCUCGGAGCUGGGCGUGCAGCUCACCUGCGACCUCAGCCCAGGAGAAAAUGAAGUUCCAUCUGAAGAUGCACUAGUAUUACAACUGCAGCUUGCAAAAGGCCAAGAUAAAUUUGUUGAAAUGUUAAAAAGCCAACAGAAGAUAAUUGUGGAUUUGCAACAAAAACUUGCUGAACAACAGAGCACGUUAGUUAGCCAGCAACGAGAAAUUCUUGAACAACAAAGAAAAAUGUAUGAGCAAAUGCAUCUGAUAAAAGUCCAGUAUGGCAUGCUUUUUGACACAGUGAAACAAAUGUCAUUCCAGAGUUUGCAUGAGGAUAUUCAACAUUAUUUUGAAACCCAGCUUCAAGGACUUCAGAAUCAGGUCAGAAGUCAUCUCCAGAAGUCACACUCUGUACAGAAAGUAGAAGUUGAUGCAAAAGUGAUUGAUGUUAGGGAGUCUUUGCUGGACUGCGGCCUUUGUAAAAGUGAUGAAUUUUGCAAUUUCCAAAAGACACCAUCUCAGUGUGAAAAAUGCACCUUGUGCCCUGCUGGUUUUUUCCAAAUGUCUGAAUGUUCUGCAAACGCUGAUCGGAUUUGCCAGGACAGAGACGAAUGCAUUGAAUCUCCCAGCAUUUGUGGUGAGAGAAUAAAAUGCCUGAAUACUCCAGGUGGCUUCCGAUGCCUUGGAAUUGCUGAAAAAGAUGCAGCCUUGGGACUGUGUGGAGAGGAUUAUUUCUUUAAUAAAGAAAUGCAGGAAUGCCAGGCUUGUUCAGAGUGUGAAGAUGGAAUAGUAGCUUUCCCUUGCUCCCCAGUUGCUGACACUGUUUGUUCAGGAGCCAGCGAGAACAAGCUUUCUGAAUCGUGGGCUGCAAACGUUAUUUUACCCUCGGCAAAGUCUGGCACUUCUCAGAUCUACCCUGGUUUAAACUUGAAGAUAAAGGGAAAGCUUCACUGUGAAGUUGUAACUGUUGAAGAUAACAGCCUGGUAUUCAGGCAACAUGGUUUGAUGUGGACUGACCUCAAUUUUGCUGUAAAGCACAACUGCAGAAACUUUCUCCAGCUGUCCUUGAAAUUAAAUGACACUGACGAAGGCUGUGAACUAAGUGGUGUUCGUAUCGAACAACCAGAAGGAAAAUAUUUUCAGAGCACCAGUUUAAGCAGCGCGGCAGAAGUGGAACCAAGCCAAACUCUCUCUCUGUUUCUGAAGAGUCCAAAUCAAUUCUGCAACCAAAGUAAAGACUUAAAUAUUUAUGACCUUAAUACUCCUCUCAGUUUGUUUUGGUUGUCCCAUGAUACAGGUGCAGUGGCUAUGAGUGCACAGAUGUCAACUGCAAUGCACUAUCAAACUAACUAUCGACCUACUUUUAAAGUUAUUUCCAUUUCUGACCCUUACAUGCUAAGUUUGUCUCACGAUGGCAGAGCUAUAAAGUUCACUGAAACAGGUGUCAUAAAAUUUGUUUUUCACCAAGCACUCUAUUCCAUGGGCCAUACAUGUGUUCGUGAAGGCUUUUCCUUGGUUUCUUAUAUCAAUAGGAAUGGUACUAACCAAGAAUUAAUGAACAUGUAUAAAUCUGGUGUAAAUUACAGAGACACAUCAAUAUCUGCUUCUGGGGCCACAAAAGUCAACAGUGGGGAUCUGCUUAGCUUUGAGAUCCUUUCUCCAGCUCAAUGUAACGUUCGAUAUUUUGGAGACAGCUCUGGAAUUAGUAUGCUUAGCCUCAUCUGGAUCCCAUCUGCAGUUUCCACUGCCAUCUCAGCCACAGUCUCUGUUACACGACUGCCUACAGGAGCUGUCAGAAACAAAUUACUGGAUUUCACCCAGGUCUCAGCCAGUGAGAAACAAAUACAGCUUGUUUCUUCUGGAGAACUUGCUCAGAAGUACUUCAGAUUUACUGAAAGGGGAGUUGCUAGCAUUGCUUUUAAUUUAAAGCUGAUCCACUCAUGUAAUGUACUUAAAGUGACUCUAAAUCAUUUGAUCAAUGAUCAGAUGCAACCCACAGCAAUUGGCCAGCAAAUUGGAGGUCAGAUGCCUGAGGGAAGUAUAUGGACCAGUGUGUCCCUCCGCUCUUCUUUCGAAGUGCAUAAUGGUACAUUGAUAUCCAUUUCUCUUGACUGUGUUCGUGGAAGAAUCAAUCAGAUUGCUCAUGAACGUAGCACCAGCAUAUCUAUUUUAUGGAUUUCAUCUUAGUUACUUUCGAGUGAAGUAAGCCCGAAUGGACAGUUUGCAAUGGGUUUUGAAUUUUGUCAUACUACGUAUGUUCAGAACCAUAGAUUGUGUGAACAUGUACAGAACAUUGCAUUAAAACAUUCUUACCAUUUGGAACAUUUUAAAAAUAAUCUUUGGUUGGAUUAUCAUCUAAACAAAAGUAAUGGUUCUGCUUUUCCAAAGAGAUUGCUCUGUUAACAUCUUAGAUUCUAGUGUCAGGAGUCCAGAUCAGGCUCUACUUCUUACAAAGCAUUCUCUUGAACUCAGAUUUUGCAGGACCUACAAAAAUAUGAUGGAGUUCUGGAUGGAGGUCACAAUGUUAUUGGAGCUGGGGAGGUUGAGCUACAGCUACCCUUAUUUCUGCACUGCUGCUGGUGGUGGCGGCAGCUUUGCCUUCAGAGCUGGGCACCUGGAGAGUGGUGGCUGCUGGCUGGGAUCCCAGCUCGAAAGGCAGCGCCGCUGCCAGCAGCACAGAAGUAAGGGUGGCAUGGUAUGGUAUUGUCACCCUUGCUUCUGCACUGCUGCUGGUGAGGCUGCCUUCAAAUCGGUGUAAUGUUAACUCUAAUAUCAGAAUUCUGUACACUGGACACUUCAAGAGCAAAAUCCAUUUAUAAACAACAUUUUGUUCCAAUGCCGUGGAGUCCUUGCCCACACAGAGUGGUACUUUUCUCUGUGAGUAUUUCCAGUGCAGGUAAUUGCAAAGUAAGGUACUGCGCAGUAUGAAUAAACGUGGCAGAAUCUGGCCCA